CGGGGUGUGGCGCAGCCUGGUAGCGCACUUGCAUGGGGUGCAAGGGGUCCCCGGUUCAAAUCCGGGCACCCCGA
rnacentral:tRNA from 1 species